GGGGUUGUGGCUUAGUGGUAGAGCACUUGCCUGGCAUGUGUGAGGCACUGGGUUUGACUCUCAGCACCA
rnacentral:tRNA from 1 species